rnacentral:rRNA from 1 species
AUUAGAUAAAAAACCAAUGCCCUUCGGGGCUCCUUGGUGAUUCAUGAUAACUAAACGAAUCGCAUGCCCUUGCGCCGGCGAUGGUUCAUUCAAAUUUCUGCCCUAUCAACUUUCGAUGGUAGGAUAGUGGCCUACCAUGGUCUCAACGGUAACGGGGAAUUAGGGUUCGAUUCCGGAGAGGGAGCCUGAGAAACGGCUACCACAUCCAAGGAAGGCAGCAGGCGCGCAAAUUACCCAAUCCCAACUCGGGGAGGUAGUGACAAUAAAUAUUGAUGAUGAGCUCUUUCGGGUUUGUCAAUUGAAAUGAGUACAAUUUAAAUCCCUUAACGAGGAACAAUUGGAGGGCAAGUCUGGUGCCAGCAGCCGCGGUAAUUCCAGCUCCAAUAGCGUAUAUUAAAGUUGUUGCAGUUAAAAAGCUCGUAGUUGAACCUUGGGUCUGGCUGACUCGUCCUCCUAAUCGAGCGCACGGGUUUGGUCGGACCUUUCCUUCUGGGGAGCCUUAUACCCUUCAUUGGG